rnacentral:rRNA from 1 species
UCCUGGCUCAGGACGAACGCUGGCGGCGUGCCUAAGACAUGCAAGUCGAGCGGGGCGGUCCCGCAAGGGGCUGCUCAGCGGCGGACGGGUGAGUAACACGUGGGUAACCUGCCCGCUGCAGGGGGAUAACAGCUCGAAAGGGCUGCUAAUACCCCAUAAGCUCACGGGGGCUGAGGCCUCUGGGAGAAAAGAGGCGCCGUAAAGGAGCCCUGGCAGCGGAGGGGCCCGCGGCCCAUCAGGUAGUUGGUGGGGUAACGGCCCACCAAGCCGACGACGGGUAGCCGGCCUGAGAGGGUGGGCGGCCACACUGGGACUGAGACACGGCCCAGACUCCUACGGGAGGCAGCAGUCGGGAAUCUUGCGCAAUGGGCGAAAGCCUGACGCAGCGACGCCGCGUGGGGGAAGAAGGCCUUCGGGUUGUAAACCCCUGUUGCCCCGGACGAAGGACCACAGGAGGAAAUGCCUGUGGGGUGACGGUACGGGGCGAGGAAGCCACGGCUAACUACGUGCCAGCAGCCGCGGUAAUACGUAGGUGGCGAGCGUUGUCCGGAAUGACUGGGCGUAAAGGGCGUGUAGGCGGUCCUGUAAGUCUGGGGUGAAAACCGGCGGCUCAACCGCCGGCCUGCCCUGGAAACUGCGGGGCUAGAGUGGGGCUAGAGGGCAGCGGAAUUCCUCGGUGUAGCGGUGAAAUGCGUAGAGAUCGGGAGGAACACCAGUGGCGAAGGCGGCUGCCUGGGGUCUAACUGACGCUGAGGCGCGAAAGCUGGGGGAGCAAACAGGAAGACAUACCCUGGUAGUCCCAGCCGUAAACGAUGAGCGCUACGUGUGGUGGGGUUACUCCUGCAGGCGAAAGCAACGUAUAAGGGCUCCCGCUGGGCGAGUACGCCCUCAUGGCUGAAAUUAAUAGGAGUGACGCGGUCCUCUAAAACCGGGGUACUACUCGUUUAAAUAAAGAACGCACGAAGACUCUAGCGCUGGCAUUGCAGAGAUCUCCCCAAAUAGGGAGACGCUGCUCUGUAGGACAUGUAU